rnacentral:rRNA from 1 species
UACGUAGGGUGCAAGCGUUAAUCGGAAUUACUGGGCGUAAAGCGUGCGCAGGCGGUUUUGUAAGUCUGUCGUGAAAGCCCCGGGCUCCACCUGGGAAUUGCGAUGGAGACUGCAAGGCUUGAAUCUGGCAGAGGGGGGUAGAAUUCCACGUGUAGCAGUGAAAUGCGUAGAGAUGUGGAGGAACACCGAUGGCGAAGGCAGCCCCCUGGGUCAAGAUUGACGCUCGAUGCACGAAAGCGUGGGGAGCAAACAGG